rnacentral:rRNA from 1 species
UACGUAGGGUGCGAGCGUUGUCCGGAAUUAUUGGGCGUAAAGAGCUCGUAGGCGGUGUGUCACGUCGAUCGUGAAAACUUGGGGCUUAACUCUGAGCUUGCGGUCGAUACGGGCAUCACUGGAGUUCGGCAGGGGAGACUGGAAUUCCUGGUGUAGCGGUGGAAUGCGCAGGAUAUCAGGGGGAACACCGGUGGCGAAGGCGGGUC